rnacentral:rRNA from 1 species
AUUGAACGCUGGCGGCGUGCCUUACACAUGCAAGUCGAACGGCAGCACGGGGCAACCUGGUGGCGAGUGGCGAACGGGUGAGUAAUGCAUCGGAACGUACCUUUCAGUGGGGGAUAACGUAGCGAAAGUUACGCUAAUACCGCAUAUUCUGUGAGCAGGAAAGCAGGGGAUCGCAAGACCUUGCGCUGAUUGAGCGGCCGAUGUCAGAUUAGCUAGUUGGUGAGGUAAAGGCUCACCAAGGCGACGAUCUGUAGCGGGUCUGAGAGGAUGAUCCGCCACACUGGGACUGAGACACGGCCCAGACUCCUACGGGAGGCAGCAGUGGGGAAUUUUGGACAAUGGGCGCAAGCCUGAUCCAGCCAUGCCGCGUGGGUGAAGAAGGCCUUCGGGUUGUAAAGCUCUUUCGGCCGGGAAGAAAUCGCAUCAGCUAAUACCUGGUGUGGAUGACGGUACCGGAAUAAGAAGCACCGGCUAACUACGUGCCAGCAGCCGCCGUAAAAC